AGAGGCAGCAGUAGAGAAUCUUGUGCAAUAAACGAAAGUAUGACACAGAGAGGACACAUUUAAUUGAGCCCGUCAAAUUAAGUGCCAGCCGACGCGGUUAAACUUAAGGGCUGGUCUUUAUAAGUAAAAAGGCGUAAAGGAUGUGUAGGCUAAGAAACGAUCCAAGUAGGUAAAUGGAAUUUUUCUGGAGCGGUAGAAUGUGAGGAUAGAAAAUAGAACCCCUAAGGUAAAAACUAUUUACUACAAGGUAGGCUGAAACAUGAGAGUGUGGGGAGCAAACAGGAUUAGAGACCCUGGUAGUCCACACUGUGAACUUUGAAGAUGAUGCUUAGCAGACCCGAAAGGUAAAAUCUUCCGCCUGAGUAGUACGAUCGCAAGAUUAAAAUUCAAAAACUUUGGCUGUUCACUAUUUCGAUUAGAGGAGCGUGUAGUUUAAUUCGAUGGUCCGCGUGUUACCUUACCCCAACUUGAAUCUGUGACCGGUAUUGCAUGGCCGUCGUAAGUUCGUGUAUUAAGCUAGAAGGGACCCAACCCGGGCAUUUGCCCGGAGGAAGUCAGGUCUUAUGAUCCGAAUGUUGGGGGAUUUUAUGCGCUACAUUUUCUUAUAUAAUGAGAAACCUGAAAGGUGAGUCUCUAAAGUAAGAGUUCGGAAGGUCGCUGUAAAACGACUGGAAGUUGGAUUUAAUAGUAAUCGGAAAGUAGGGCGUUCCGGUGAAUUGGUACAAGUGUUAGCACAAAUUGCCCGUCACCUUUACUUAGAAUGGUUAUUCGGACGUCUUCGGUGAUUACGAAUGC
rnacentral:rRNA from 1 species